rnacentral:rRNA from 1 species
GUGCCAGCCGCCGCGGUAAUUCCAGCUCCAAUAGCGUAUAUUAAAGUUGUUGUGGUUAAAAAGCUCGUAGUUGAACCUUGGGCCUGGCUGGCCGGUCCGCCUCACCGCGUGCACUGGUCCGGCCGGGCCUUUCCCUCUGUGGAACCCCAUACCCUUCACUGGGCGAGGAGGGGAAACAGGACAUUUACUUUGAAAAAAUUAGAGUGCUCCAGGCAGGCCUAUGCUCGAAUACAUUAGCAUGGAAUAAUAAAAUAGGACGCGCGGUUCUAUUUUGUUGGUUUAUAGGACCGCCGUAAUGAUUAAUAGGGACAGUCGGGGGCAUCAGUAUUCAACUGUCAGAGGUGAAAUUCUUGGAUCAGUUGAAGACUAGCUACUGCGAAAGCAUUUGCCAAGGAUGUUUUCAUUAAUCAGGAACGAAAGUUAGGGGAUCGAAGACGAUCAGAUACCGUCGUAGUCUUAACCAUAAACUAUGCCGACUAGGGAUCGGACGGUGUUAUUCAUGACCCGUUCGGCACCUUACGAGAAAUCAAAGUGCUUGGGCUCCAGGGGGAGUAUGGUCGCAAGGCUGAAACUUAAAGAAAUUGACGGAAGGGCACCACCAGGGUGGAGCCUGCGGCUUAAUUUGACUCAACACGGGGAAACUCACCAGGUCCAGACACAAUAAGGAUUGACAGAUUGAGAGCUCUUUUCUUGAUUUUGUGGGGUGGUGGUGCAUGGCCGUUCUUAGUUGGUGGGGUUGACUUUGUCUGCUUUAUUGCGAUAACGAACGAGACCUUAACCUGCUAAAUAGGCCCGCAUUGCUUCGGCAGUGCCGCUGGGCAUACAU